GGAGAGGUGCCAGAGCGGUUGAAUGGGCACGACUGGAAAUCGUGUAAUGGGGAAACUCAUUCGGGGGUUCGAAUCCCCCUCUCUCCG
rnacentral:tRNA from 2 species